CCCUUCGGGGGGGAUCAGUGGCGAACGGGUGAGUAACACGUGAGCAACCUGCCCCUGACUCUGGGAUAACCCCGGGAAACCGGAGCUAAUACCGGAUAUGACACGCUCGGGCAUCCGAUGCGUGUGGAAAGAUUUAUCGGUUGGGGAUGGGCUCGGGGCCUAUCAGCUUGUUGGUGGGGUAACGGCCUACCAAGGCGACGACGGGUAGCCGGCCUGAGAGGGCGACCGGCCACACCGGGACUGAGACACGGCCCAGACUCCUACGGGAGGCAGCAGUGGGGAAUAUUGCGCAAUGGGCGAAAGCCUGACGCAGCGACGCCGCGUGAGGGAUGAAGGCCUUCGGGUUGUAAACCUCUUUCAGCAGGGAAGAAGCGCAAGUGACGGUACCUGCAAAAAAAGCACCGGCUAACUACGUGCCAGCAGCCGCGGUAAUACGUAGGGUGCAAGCGUUGUCCGGAAUUAUUGGGCGUAAAGAGCUCGUAGGCGGUCUGUCGCGUCUGCUGUGAAAACUCGGGGCUUAACCCCGGGCCUGCUUCCGAUACGGGCAAACUAGAGGGAUGCAGGGGAAAACGGAAUUCCUGGUGGAGCGGUGGAAUGC
rnacentral:rRNA from 1 species